rnacentral:rRNA from 1 species
AUCUACGGCCAUACCACCCUGAAUGCGCCCGAUCUCGUCUGAUCUCGGAAGUGAAGCAGGGUCAGGGUUAGUACUUCAAUGGAAGAUAUGCCACUAAUCACUUUAGCAA